rnacentral:tRNA from 1 species
GGCCGUAUGCCCGAGUGGUCAGGGGACCGUCUGCAAAGCGGUAGACGCCGGUUCGAUUCCGGCUACGGCCUC